rnacentral:lncRNA from 1 species
GGUGCUAUGGAUGGGGCUAGCGGAUGAGUAUGACAUCGGUGCCUACAACCUCUACUGAUGAGCCUGAGCCAUGUUGCAUCUGAACGGAAGCCCACUACCCACGCUGCUCCCACACCGAGGCCCUCCGACCGUGGGCGCUGCCGGUGGCUACCAUGUGCUCCACCUUUGCACCUACUGCUGCAGUGCAUACUUCUUCCCCCCCAUGUCUAGCAGUGCCAGGCAAAGCAGGACUUCUGUAGAGUUAUGCGAUGGGUACAAUUAGAUAUAGCUUGAAGUUGCAUUUUACGCGUUGAGCUAUCACAUUGUAGACUAACUUGUACAUUUUUUCUUUUGUAGUCCUUCUUGCUUACUUUCACAUUAGUUAUGGGAGCUCUAAUGUUCAUGUUGAUGUCACUAAGACAAGGUAAGAAUUAUGAAUCUUCUGAAACAGACAUUUG